rnacentral:rRNA from 2 species
CUCGGAUCAGGUAGGGAUACCCGCUGAACUUAAGCAUAUCAAU